UACGUAGGGACCAAGCGUUGUUCGGAUUCACUGGGCGUAAAGGGUGCGUAGGUGGUCGGGUAAGUCUGAUGUGAAAUCUCCGAGCUUAACUCGGAAAUGGCAUUGGAUACUAUUCGGCUAGAGGGUUUGAGGGGGGACUGGAAUACUUGGUGUAGCAGUGAAAUGCGUAGAUAUCAAGUGGAACACCAGUGGCGAAGGCGGCGCUCUGGAACAUACCUGACGCUGAGACACGAAAGCGUGGGGAGCAAACAGG
rnacentral:rRNA from 1 species